rnacentral:rRNA from 1 species
GAGUUUGAUCAUGGCUCAGGAUGAACGCCGACAGAAUGCUUAACACAUGCAAGUCUACUUGAUCCUUCGGGUGAAGGUGGCGGACGGGUGAGUAACGCGUAAAGAACUUGCCUUACAGACUGGGACAACAUUUGGAAACGAAUGCUAAUACCGGAUAUUAUGAUUGGGUCGCAUGAUCUGAUUAUGAAAGCUAUAUGCGCUGUGAGAGAGCUUUGCGUCCCAUUAGUUAGUUGGUGAGGUAACGGCUCACCAAGACGAUGAUGGGUAGCCGGCCUGAGAGGGUGAACGGCCACAAGGGGACUGAGACACGGCCCUUACUCCUACGGGAGGCAGCAGUGGGGAAUAUUGGACAAUGGACCAAAAGUCUGAUCCAGCAAUUCUGUGUGCACGAUGAAGUUUUUCGGAAUGUAAAGUGCUUUCAGUUGGGAAGAAGUCAGUGACAGUACCAACAGAAGAAGCGACGGCUAAAUACGUGCCAGCAGCCGCGGUAAUACGUAUGUCGCAAGCGUUAUCCGGAUUUAUUGGGCGUAAAGCGCGUCUAGGCGGCUUAGUAAGUCUGAUGUGAAAAUGCGGGGCUCAACCCCGUAUUGCGUUGGAAACUGCUAAACUAGAGUACUGGAGAGGUAGGCGGAACUACAAGUGUAGAGGUGAAAUUCGUAGAUAUUUGUAGGAAUGCCGAUGGGGAAGCCAGCCUACUGGACAGAUACUGACGCUAAAGCGCGAAAGCGUGGGUAGCAAACAGGAUUAGAUACCCUGGUAGUCCACGCCGUAAACGAUGAUUACUAGGUGUUGGGGGUCGAACCUCAGCGCCCAAGCUAACGCGAUAAGUAAUCCGC